rnacentral:rRNA from 1 species
CGGGGCUUAAAGUCUUGUAAUUGGAAUGAUGGGAAUUUAAACCUCUUCCAGAGUAUCAAUUGGAGGGCAAGUCUGGUGCCAGCAGCCGCGGUAAUUCCAGCUCCAAUAGCGUAUAUUAAAAUUGUUGCAGUUAAAAAGCUCGUAGUUGAAUUUCUGCUGCAUUGCUUGUGUCCCUCUGGGGUCUGUGCAUGUGGCUUUUUUCGGACGGAGUUUCUUUGUCUGAAUGUUUACUUUGAGAAAAUUAGAGUGCUCAAAGCAGGCUUUCGCCUUGAAUAGUUUAGCAUGGAAUAAUAAAGUAGGACUUUGGUUCUAUUUUGUUGGUUUUAGGUACCAAAGUAAUGGUUAAUAGGAACAGUUGGGGGCAUUCGUAUUUAACUGUCAGAGGUGAAAUUCUUAGAUUUGUUAAAGACGAACUACUGCAAAAGCAUUUGCCAAGGAUGUUUUCAUUAAUCAAGAAC